GAGUGCAAGCUCUACGAAUUGCAUGCACUCACAUCGCUACCAAAUCGAAGCGAGUAUAAUGACCAGUCUCUCGCUAGAAGUCUCUAAACACAACAUGAAUCCCGCUUGCCCGCUCUCGCUCUGCAACGAUAAUCCUCGGGAACAAAGCUUGGCUCAGACAAUUGCACGGUACAGUCAUAGAGUGAAGGUGGUUUAUGGUCGUCCUUAAGAAGCCGAUCUGAAGUGCUCGAAAUAGAAGGUUUGUCGCAUCGCAUAUCACGAUUUGGCAGGUUACACCAAUAGCCCGCAAACAAAAGGGACCACCCGAUCUGUUCUCGGAUAACCGCAUGCAACGCGAGCACGUUUGACUUCAUUCCAAUCAAUACACCAAGUUCCCUAUGAGCUAUCGCAAGACUUGCACGUAACAUCCGUAUAGUUUGGAGAGAUAGAUUUGCUACGAGAGUUGCGAAUUCCAAGAAACAAGAGUUAUACGGCAUAAGCUAGUGAUCUCCGACGACAGAUUAAGCCACAACGAGACUCGGCUGCGUUGGAUUUAAGUAUCGAAAGAGUAAACACAAGACACCCAAAGGCCUUCGAAAGAGGGCCUUUAAUUUACAGGCUUGGGUGCUUCGGUCGUGCCACAGCAACGAGACUCUCUGAGCGUAGUGAUAGUAUCUAGGGACUGCAAAGGCAAGACCGAUUGAGCCGAAUUUACUGCAUUUCGUUCCCGCCAACCAUACGUGCGAUAGCGAGACCGCAAGGACACGAAGGAGCCGACUACACGAUCGUCGCAAUGCUUGCCGAUUAGGCAAGACAGAAAGGGAUCUAGCGCAACGGUGGCAGCGUGUGGAGUACAGUAAAGUCAACAUCAAGGGGCCCCCACCGAUAUGAAUAAGUUAAAGAUGUGAACUUUGUAAAGGGUGGCAAAAUGUAUGUAUGCCAAUAGAGUUAAGUUAGCAAUGUAACUUGAUUUUCUUAUGUUAAGCUGCACUCCCUUAUCGCAUUGUUUUGUGAGUCAUAUCGUUUUAAUUCAGUUGAGUUCGUUAAUUCCUCCUAGUUCCCUUACCGAAAUCUACUAUUGUAUC